AAUGAACGCUGGCGGCGUGCUUAACACAUGCAAGUCGAGCGAGGCCUGGGGGGCAACUCCCAGAGUCGAGCGGCGGACGGGUGAGUAACACGUGGGUAACCUGCCCGGAAGUGGGGAAUACCUCGGGAAACUCGAGCUAAUACCGCAUGACAUCUCCGGGACGAAAGUCCUGGCGAUCAAAGCGGGGUCGCAAAGAUCUCGCGCUACCGGAUGGGCCCGCGCCCGAUUAGCUAGUU
rnacentral:rRNA from 1 species